UGGAGGGUCUGAGGAGGAGCCCCAUAGGCUCUGGUGCUGUUUGGGAGCGUCAGAGGCGUACUCUGAGAGAAUGUGUGCCGCUGGAGGGAGGCUUUGGGAGGAGAUGCCGCCAUUCUGGGUGUAGCCUCUGUAUGCUGUCCACGGUUCACGGUGUGAACUCCCAGCUUCUGCUCCGGCUGUGACUUGUUGCCAGGCUCCCUGCCCCAACAAACUCCUGUCCCUUUGGAACGGUGAGCCCAGCCUGGGCCAUGAGGCUUUAUCACAGCAAGAGAAAGGACAACCCGCAACUGCAGUGAAGAGGGAAACACACUGCCAACCUGGUGGAAAGAGCGCCACCUGCCAAAACUUCCUGAAAUGACACCGGUUGACUGACCAGUGAUGUAGCCCAGUGGUAGAAUAUAAAGCCCAGACUGACUUGCAACUUGAAUCAGCCCUCCUGCCGUUGGAUGUUAGACUAUAGAUGUGAGCCACCAUAUUUAGCUACCCUUGGAUUUUGAAAAUAUUUCUCCAAGACCUCUCUACUCUAUAAUAUAGCAUUUCCUUUGGAGUACUAUUUUUUUCAGUUGUUCGAACUCUGGAGACACUCCUGCUUCCUGACCUGCUUGAGUUCCAGUCCUGACUUCCUUUGGUGAUGAACAACAAUGUGAAAGUGUAAGCUGAAGAAACCCUUUCCUCCCCAACAUGCUGCUUGGUCAUGAUGUUUGUACAGGAAUAGAAACCCUGAUGAAGACAAUAGUCAAAGGUAAUUUUGGUUCUGGAUCUGUAACAUUCUGACUCUACACAAUCAUGAAGUUCUAAUUAAUAAGUUGGAUAGAAUCUACAACAUAGUUCUAGCCUUUUUUUUUAAAAAAAAGUAGGAACUUAAAUUUACGCAGA
ensembl:antisense Gm15777 predicted gene 15777